rnacentral:rRNA from 1 species
GAUGAACGCUAGCGGUAGGCAUAACUCAUGCAAGUCGAGGGGCAGCAUAAUUAAAGCUUGCUUUGAUUGAUGGCGACCGGCGGAUGGGUGAGUAACGCGUAUGCAACCUGGCUUAUACAGGAGGAUAGACACUGGAAACGGUGCGUAAUACUGCGUAAUGUUAUCGGGAGGCAUCUCUUGAUAAAGAAAGAUUUCGAUUGGUAUAAGAUGGGCAUGCGUAGGAUUAGCUAGAUGGUGAGGUAACGGCUUACCAUGGCGACGAUCUUUAGGGGUUCUGAGAGGAAGGUCCCCCACAUUGCAACUGAGAACGGUGCAAACUCCUACGGGAGGCAGCAGUGAGGAAUAUUGGUCAAUGGGCGGAAGCCUGAACCAGCCAUACCGCGUGCAGGAAGGCGGCCCUAUGGGUUGUAAACUGCUUUUAUAUUGGGAUAAAGGGCUUGUCGAGUACAAGCAAUUGAAGGUACAGUAUGAAUAAGUAUCGGCUAACUCC